UACGGAGGAUGCGAGCGUUAUCCGGAUUUAUUGGGUUUAAAGGGUGCGUAGGCGGCGAGUUAAGUCAGCGGUAAAAGCCCGGGGCUCAACUCCGGGACUGCUUUUGAAACUGUGUUGCUAGAUUGCAGGAGAGGUAAGUGGAAUUCCUAGUGUAGCGGUGAAAUGCGUAGAUAUUAGGAGGAACACCAGUGGCGAAGGCGGCUUACUGGACUGUAAAUGACGCUGAGGCUCGAAAGCGUGGGGAGCAAACAGG
rnacentral:rRNA from 1 species